GCAGUCGAACGGGAUCCUGCAAGCUUGCUUGCGGGUGAGAGUGGCGAACGGGUGAGUAAUGCGUGACCAACCUGCCCCAUGCUCCGGAAUAGCUCCUGGAAACGGGUGGUAAUGCCGGAUGUGCCGGGCUCCUGCAUGGGGGUCCGGGAAAGCUCUGGCGGCGUGGGAUGGGGUCGCGUCCUAUCAGCUUGUUGGCGGGGUGAGGGCCCACCAAGGCUUCGACGGGUAGCCGGCCUGAGAGGGCGACCGGCCACAUUGGGACUGAGAUACGGCCCAGACUCCUACGGGAGGCAGCAGUGGGGAAUAUUGCACAAUGGGCGCAAGCCUGAUGCAGCGACGCCGCGUGCGGGAUGGAGGCCUUCGGGUUGUAAACCGCUUUUGUUUGGGAGCAAGCCCUUCGGGGUGAGUGUACCUUUCGAAUAAGCACCGGCUAACUACGUGCCAGCAGCCGCGGUAAUACGUAGGGUGCGAGCGUUAUCCGGAUUUAUUGGGCGUAAAGGGCUCGUAGGCGGUUCGUCGCGUCCGGUGUGAAAGUCCAUCGCCUAACGGUGGAUCUGCGCCGGGUACGGGCGGGCUGGAGUGCGGUAGGGGAGACUGGAAUUCCCGGUGUAACGGUGGAAUGUGUAGAUAUCGGGAAGAACACCAAUGG
rnacentral:rRNA from 1 species